rnacentral:rRNA from 1 species
AACGAACGCUGGCGGCAUGCCUAACACAUGCAAGUCGAACGUGAUCCGUGCCUUCGGGUGCGGUGAAAGUGGCGCACGGGUGAGUAACGCGUGGGAACCGGCCCAAUGGUAGGGAAUAACCGCGGGAAACGGCGGCUCAUACCCUAUGAGCCCUACGGUGGAAAGAUUUAUCGCCGUUGGAGGGGCCCGCGUCGGAUUAGGUACUUGGCGGGGUAAUGGCUCACCAAGCCUUCGAUCCGUAGCUGGUCUGACAGGUUGAUCAGCCACACUGGGACUGAGACACGGCCCAGACUCCUACGGGAGGCAGCAGUGGGGAAUAUUGGACAAUGGGGGCAACCCUGAUCCAGCAAUGCCGCGUGAGUGAAGAAGGCCUUAGGGUUGUAAAGCUCUUUCGGCGGGGACGAUGAUGACGGUACCCGCAGAAGAAGCCCCGGCUAACUCCGUGCCAGCCGCCGCCGUAACAC